rnacentral:rRNA from 1 species
GGAUGAACGUUGGCGGCGUGCCUAAUACAUGCAAGUCGAACGAAGACUGUAGUAAUACUGUCUUAGUGGCGAACGGGUGGGUAACGCGUGGGUGACCUGCCCCGAAGUGUGGGAUAACAGUCCGAAAGGAUUGCUAAUACUGCAUAAUAUCCAAGAGAUUAGACGCUUUUGGAUUAAAGGAGUAAUUUGCUUCGGGAGGGGCCCGCGUCCCAUCAGCUAGUUGGUAAGGUAAUGGCUUACCAAGGCGAUGACGGGUAGGGGACCUGGGAGGGUGGCCCCCCACAAUGGAACUGAAACACGGUCCAUACACCUACGGGUGGCAGCAGUAGGGAAUAUUAGUAAUGGGCGAAAGCCUGAACUAGCAACGCCGCGUGAGCGAAGAAGGCCUUCGGGUCGUAAAGCACUUUUUGAGAGGAUGAGGAAGGACGGUACUCUCAGAAUAAGUCUCGGCUAACUACGUGCCAGCAGCCGCGGUAACACGUAGGAGGCAAACGUUAUCCGGAUUUACUGGGCGUAAAGCGCGUGUAGGUGGUUUGGUAAGUAGGGCGUGAAAGCUCCUGGCUCAACUGGGAGAGGACGUUCUAAACUGCCAAGCUUGAGGAUGGUAGAGGGAGGUGGAAUUCCGGGUGUAGCGGUGGAAUGCGCAGAUAUCCGGAGGAACACCAGUGGCGAAGGCGGCCUCCUGGACCACUCCUGACACUCAGACGCGAAAGCUAGGGUAGCAAACGGGAUUAGAGACCCCGGUAGUCCUAGCCCUAAACGAUGUAGACUUGGCGUCGGUGGUUUAAUCGCCAUCGGUGUCGUAGCUAACGCGAUAAGUCUACCGCCUGGGGACUACGGCCGCAAGGUUAAAACUCAAAGGAAUUGACGGGGGCCCGCACAAGCAGUGGAGUAUGUGGUUUAAUUCGACGCAACGCGAAGAACCUUACCAGGGCUUGACAUCCUCUGACGAUCCUAGAGAUAGGAUUUCUCUUCGGAGCAGAGAGACAGGUGGUGCAUGGUUGUCGUCAGCUCGUGUCGUGAGAUGUUGGGUUAAGUCCCGCAACGAGCGCAACCCUUAUUGCCAGUUGCCAUCAUUCAGUUGGGCACUCUGGCGAGACUGCCGUGGAUAACACGGAGGAAGGUGGGGACGACGUCAAAUCAUCAUGCCCCUUAUGUCCUGGGCUACACACGUACUACAAUGGCAACAACAGAAAGCAGCAAAACCGCGAGGUCAAGCGAAUCUCCAAAUGUUGUCUCAGUUCGGAUUGCAGGCUGCAACUCGCCUGCAUGAAGUCGGAAUUGCUAGUAAUGGCAGGUCAGCAUACUGCCGUGAAUACGUUCCCGGGCCU